rnacentral:rRNA from 1 species
AGCGUACACGGUGGAUGCCCUGGCAGUCAGAGGCGAUGAAGGACGUGCUAAUCUGCGAUAAGCGUCGGUAAGGUGAUAUGAACCGUUAUAACCGGCGAUUUCCGAAUGGGGAAACCCAGUGUGAUUCGUCACACUAUCAUUAACUGAAUCCAUAGGUUAAUGAGGCGAACCGGGGGAACUGAAACAUCUAAGUACCCCGAGGAAAAGAAAUCAACCGAGAUUCCCCCAGUAGCGGCGAGCGAACGGGGAGCAGCCCAGAGUCUGAAUCAGUGUGUGUGUUAGUGGAAGCGUCUGGAAAGGCGCGCGAUACAGGGUGACAGCCCCGUACACAAAAAUGCACAUAUUGUGAGCUCGAUGAGUAGGGCGGGACACGUGGUAUCCUGUCUGAAUAUGGGGGGACCAUCCUCCAAGGCUAAAUACUCCUGACUGACCGAUAGUGAACCAGUACCGUGAGGGAAAGGCGAAAAGAACCCCGGCGAGGGGAGUGAAAAAGAACCUGAAACCGUGUACGUACAAGCAGUGGGAGCCUCUUUAUGGGGUGACUGCGUACCUUUUGUAUAAUGGGUCAGCGACUUAUAUUCUGUAGCAAGGUUAACCGAAUAGGGGAGCCGAAGGGAAACCGAGUCUUAACUGGGCGUUAAGUUGCAGGGUAUAGACCCGAAACCCGGUGAUCUAGCCAUGGGCAGGUUGAAGGUUGGGUAACACUAACUGGAGGACCGAACCGACUAAUGUUGAAAAAUUAGCGGAUGACUUGUGGCUGGGGGUGAAAGGCCAAUCAAACCGGGAGAUAGCUGGUUCUCCCCGAAAGCUAUUUAGGUAGCGCCUCGUGAAUUCAUCUCCGGGGGUAGAGCACUGUUUCGGCAAGGGGGUCAUCCCGACUUACCAACCCGAUGCAAACUGCGAAUACCGGAGAAUGUUAUCACGGGAGACACACGGCGGGUGCUAACGUCCGUCGUGAAGAGGGAAACAACCCAGACCGCCAGCUAAGGUCCCAAAGUCAUGGUUAAGUGGGAAACGAUGUGGGAAGGCCCAGACAGCCAGGAUGUUGGCUUAGAAGCAGCCAUCAUUUAAAGAAAGCGUAAUAGCUCACUGGUCGAGUCGGCCUGCGCGGAAGAUGUAACGGGGCUAAACCAUGCACCGAAGCUGCGGCAGCGACGCUUAUGCGUUGUUGGGUAGGGGAGCGUUCUGUAAGCCUGUGAAGGUGUGCUGUGAGGUAUGCUGGAGGUAUCAGAAGUGCGAAUGCUGACAUAAGUAACGAUAAAGCGGGUGAAAAGCCCGCUCGCCGGAAGACCAAGGGUUCCUGUCCAACGUUAAUCGGGGCAGGGUGAGUCGACCCCUAAGGCGAGGCCGAAAGGCGUAGUCGAUGGGAAACAGGUUAAUAUUCCUGUACUUGGUGUUACUGCGAAGGGGGGACGGAGAAGGCUAUGUUGGCCGGGCGACGGUUGUCCCGGUUUAAGCGUGUAGGCUGGUUUUCCAGGCAAAUCCGGAAAAUCAAGGCUGAGGCGUGAUGACGAGGCACUACGGUGCUGAAGCAACAAAUGCCCUGCUUCCAGGAAAAGCCUCUAAGCAUCAGGUAACAUCAAAUCGUACCCCAAACCGACACAGGUGGUCAGGUAGAGAAUACCAAGGCGCUUGAGAGAACUCGGGUGAAGGAACUAGGCAAAAUGGUGCCGUAACUUCGGGAGAAGGCACGCUGAUAUGUAGGUGAAGUCCCUUGCGGAUGGAGCUGAAAUCAGUCGAAGAUACCAGCUGGCUGCAACUGUUUAUUAAAAACACAGCACUGUGCAAACACGAAAGUGGACGUAUACGGUGUGACGCCUGCCCGGUGCCGGAAGGUUAAUUGAUGGGGUUAGCGCAAGCGAAGCUCUUGAUCGAAGCCCCGGUAAACGGCGGCCGUAACUAUAACGGUCCUAAGGUAGCGAAAUUCCUUGUCGGGUAAGUUCCGACCUGCACGAAUGGCGUAAUGAUGGCCAGGCUGUCUCCACCCGAGACUCAGUGAAAUUGAACUCGCUGUGAAGAUGCAGUGUACCCGCGGCAAGACGGAAAGACCCCGUGAACCUUUACUAUAGCUUGACACUGAACAUUGAGCCUUGAUGUGUAGGAUAGGUGGGAGGCUUAGAAGUGUGGACGCCAGUCUGCAUGGAGCCGACCUUGAAAUACCACCCUUUAAUGUUUGAUGUUCUAACGUUGACCCGUAAUCCGGGUUGCGGACAGUGUCUGGUGGGUAGUUUGACUGGGGCGGUCUCCUCCUAAAGAGUAACGGAGGAGCACGAAGGUUGGCUAAUCCUGGUCGGACAUCAGGAGGUUAGUGCAAUGGCAUAAGCCAGCUUGACUGCGAGCGUGACGGCGCGAGCAGGUGCGAAAGCAGGUCAUAGUGAUCCGGUGGUUCUGAAUGGAAGGGCCAUCGCUCAACGGAUAAAAGGUACUCCGGGGAUAACAGGCUGAUACCGCCCAAGAGUUCAUAUCGACGGCGGUGUUUGGCACCUCGAUGUCGGCUCAUCACAUCCUGGGGCUGAAGUAGGUCCCAAGGGUAUGGCUGUUCGCCAUUUAAAGUGGUACGCGAGCUGGGUUUAGAACGUCGUGAGACAGUUCGGUCCCUAUCUGCCGUGGGCGCUGGAGAACUGAGGGGGGCUGCUCCUAGUACGAGAGGACCGGAGUGGACGCAUCACUGGUGUUCGGGUUGUCAUGCCAAUGGCACUGCCCGGUAGCUAAAUGCGGAAGAGAUAAGUGCUGAAAGCAUCUAAGCACGAAACUUGCCCCGAGAUGAGUUCU